rnacentral:rRNA from 1 species
CUUAGCAGAGAUGCUUUGGUGCCUUCGGGAACUCUGAGACAGGUGCUGCAUGGCUGUCGUCAGCUCGUGUUGUGAAAUGUUGGGUUAAGUCCCGCAACGAGCGCAACCCUUAUCCUUUGUUGCCAGCGGUCCGGCCGGGAACUCAAAGGAGACUGCCAGUGAUAAACUGGAGGAAGGUGGGGAUGACGUCAAGUCAUCAUGGCCCUUACGAGUAGGGCUACACACGUGCUACAAUGGCGCAUACAAAGAGAAGCGACCUCGCGAGAGCAAGCGGACCUCAUAAAGUGCGUCGUAGUCCGGAUUGGAGUCUGCAACUCGACUCCAUGAAGUCGGAAUCGCUAGUAAUCGUAGAUCAGAAUGCUACGGUGAAUACGUUCCCGGGCCUUGUACACACCGCCCGUCACACCAUGGGAGUGGGUUGCAAAAGAAGUAGGUAGCUUAACCUUCGGGAGGGCGCUUACCACUUUGUGAUUCAUGACUGGGGUGAAGUCGUAACAAGGUAGGCGUACGUGU